AAGAGUUUGUGUAUCUUCGGGUACUUACUCCCACCAUUUGUGAACCUUUUUCGUUGCCUCGGCGGAUCGAUGGUACCCCCAUCCUUCGGCGUAAAAGUUGAAGAGUGUCCGCCAGAGGAUUUUCAAACCAAUCUUAACUUUGAAAUCUGAGUUUAAAACAAAUAAAAACA
rnacentral:misc_RNA from 1 species